GUUAUACCGAGGCGCGUCAAUUGCUGGUUGAAAACUAUUUCCAAACCCCCUCUUUGGCCCUCCGGGGCCACUGAGAAUUUCUGGAAGGGCUCCCUUUCUUCGGAGAGGGCAAGGCCCUACAAAUCAAAUUCAAACUCUUUUUGGCAUCAUUAAACGAAAUGUUAGCCUGAUAGAACUGUAGGUUUUUGUAUGAAAUCGACUGCCUAAAUUUUCCUAGCUCUGUCGUUGGUCAAUCGCGAUCCUCCAAGCUUCGGUUUGGUGUACUCUCCAAGUACCGGUAUUGACCAGCGAUGCUCCGUCGCUCCAAGCUUCGGUUUACCGGUCUUGAGUCCCAGAGUGAAUUACUCAAGGUCUGACCUUCAUUGCUGUACCUGGGUAAAAAGCCUUGAUCUCGUCCUAGCGGUUGGAUCUGGUUGCAACGACGAUAACGACGAUCAGACGUCGUUUCCCUUCAUAGAAGGGUCACCUUUGAAGAACCUCUCUUGUUUUUUAGGGGAUGCCUUAGGGGUGAUUUUGGUGGUUGUUGUGUUUCGUCAACUCGUCAUACUCUUUGGUCCUUAUUUUUUUUGGUCAUUUAUUUUCUUUUCUUUUUUAAUUUUUUGGACCUGUGCAUCCUCAUUGUCUGGCUUUUGCUCUUCUCAGUGUGUUGGUGCAAGAGGCUGGGUGCACUUGAUAUUAAUAUAUUACUCUUUGUCGAAAA